GCAGGUUAUAGAAACGAAAUGAAAUUGAUGUUUUCUGGGGCUCUUUAAUUUCUAUUUUGGGUUUCCUGUUCUAGCUCGUUUCAGAUAUUUCUGAUAUUAUUAAUCAAAAUUUAUGGCUCUGUCCUUUGUAAUCUGUAUGCCUUUUUCUUGUUCUGGAAUGAAUUGGGUUUUUCAUUCAAACUCCGUAAACAUCAACUAUGUCUUUGGGUUUGAAUUCUGGGUCUACUUUCUUGUCUUUAUUCAUCUUUUCUUUAUGUUAAAGUAUCAUCCCUUUCUUCUCCUCUGUCAUUUAAUAUAAAAUUAUUUGGUGAUGUUUUCUAUGGCGUCCCGUAGUUUAGGGAGGAAUAAAUAAUCAAUUCAGCAAUAAUUAUGUUAGUAGAGCUCAAACAUUAAUUCAACAGAGCUUAGUGAAGAUUUUAUUUAGUAAUGAAAAUUUUCUGAGAUGGGUUUUAAGUAAUUGAAUUUGAAAGAUGCGAGAUAAUAAUUCUGAAGCAUGAAAUUUUUGCAGAAAUAUGAACCAGGAUAUACGGCAACUUCAAAAAAGUGUCAGCAAAUGGAGGAAAUGACAACU
rnacentral:misc_RNA from 1 species